GAAGAGACUGGUGCAUGGUUUGUGCCUGUGGUAUUAUCCCAUAAUGGCAGCUCUUGGACUGGGGGUUGUGGACAGUGCUAGAGAGGGGCAUGAGGCAAUUAAAGCACAGGACAGGCUGGGGGAAGAGACUUAGAUGAAGUAACACAUAUGGGAUUUGCUGCAGGUCAAUAACUGUGCCUUCUUCUCCAGGCAGCAACUUGGAUCAGCUCUAGAAUUAACUCUGAGUGGUUCAAGACAGCCUGGAGAGAUUAUAAAGGUGGUCCAAGGACGGCUCUCUCUGUUCACCGUGUGGGAUUGGUCUCUGCUGCCCCUUUCAGGGAACAUCUGUAAGCACAUCACAUCUGUAAAAAAAAAGGCAGGAAGGUUCAUCUGCUGGACAAAGAAGUUGUCCUGAAUUUCCUCACCUCUCCAGAUGCCUCAUGUUUGACAGCUUCUGCUCCUGGCCAGCCACAGUUUGUGUUCUCUGGCCACCUGGGACCUGAUCUUCCUCUGACACUUCCUCAGAGAGCAGCUGCUGGGAGAGACUUUCUGGCUCUGAUUCUAGCACUCCAAGCACAGCAUCCUGGGAUGGCUUUCCCAGGAUUCUGGGAGAUUUGAAGGCCAGGCAUCAUGGCCGGUAUUUCUCCCAUGCACCCACAUCCCACAUUGAGGGUGUCCUUGUGGUAU
rnacentral:lncRNA from 1 species